CGGAGGGGCGUAGCGUUGUUCGGAAGUUACUGGGCGUAAAGACGCACGUAGGCGGACUGGAAAGUACAGAGGUGAAAUACCCAGGGCGUCAACCUUGGAACGUGCCUUUGAAACUAAUCAGUCUGGAGUUCGAGAGAGGUGAGUGGAAUUCCGAGUGUAGAGGUGAAAUUCGUAGAUAUUCGGAGGAACACCAGUGGCGAAGGCGGCUCACUGGCUCGAUACUGACGCUGAGGUGCGAAAGCGUGGGGAGCAAACAGGAUU
rnacentral:rRNA from 1 species